AGCGAACGCUGGCGGCAGGCCUAACACAUGCAAGUCGAACGAACCUUUCGGGGUUAGUGGCGGACGGGUGAGUAACACGUGGGAACGUGCCUUUAGGUUCGGAAUAACUCAGGGAAACUUGUGCUAAUACCGAAUGUGCCCUUCGGGGGAAAGAUUUAUCGGCUUUAGAGCGGCCCGCGUCUGUUUAGCUAGUUGGUUGAGGUAAUGGCUCACCAAGGCGACGAUCAGGAGCUGGUCUGAGAGGAUGAUGCGCCACAUUGGGACUGGGCCACGGCCCAAAAUCCUUCGGGAGGGAGGCAUGGGGGAUCCUGCCCAAUCGGGUGAAGCAUGAAGGCGCCAUGGCGGGUAAACGCUUAAGGUCUUAAGGAUAUAAAAUUCUUUCACCCGGGGCGGUUAUGACGGUACCCAGAGAAGAAGCCCCGGCUAACUUCGUG
rnacentral:rRNA from 1 species